rnacentral:lncRNA from 1 species
ACAGUAUAGCUGACCUUUAUUAAGCCUGAAACCCAAUUUCAGAAAUCCUUGAAUUGAAGUUCCUGAGAAAAAGGUGACAAAAAUUUCCACCUUAGCUAUCAUGUGUAAAUGAUACAAGUGUUUGGUAAACAGGAAGUCGUUGAGUAAUGAAUCUGAAAAUGCAUCACACAGUAAAGCCGACUUCUAUCAACCCUGAAACCAAAUUUCAGAAAUCCUUGUAUUGAAGUUCCUCAUGAAAAAGGUGACGAAAAUUUUCAACUUAGCUAUCAUGUGUAAAUGAUACAAGUGUUCGGUAAACAGAAAGUUGUUGAGUGAUGAAUCUAAAAACGCAUGACACAGUAUAGCUGCAUUAUAUCAACACUGAACCAAAUUUCAGAAAUCCUUGUAUUGACUCUCCGGAGAAUAAGGUGACGAAAAUUUUCGACUUAGCUAUCAUUUGUAAAUGAUACAAGUGUUAGGUAUACAGGAAGUUGAUGAGUGAUGAAUCUGAAAACGCAUGGCACGUGGUAAUUAGCUGCAUUUUAUCAACACUGAACCAAAUUUCAGAAAUCCUUGUAUUGAAGUUCCUAAAAAAGGUGACGAAAAUUUUCAACUUAGCUAUCAUGUGUAAAUGAUACAAGUGUUUGGUAAACAGGAAAUUGUUGAGUGAUGAAUCUGAAAAUGCAUGGCACGUGGUAAUUAGCUGCAUUUUAUCAACACUGAACCAAAUUUCAGAAAUCCUUGUAUUGAAGUUCCAGAGAACUGUGAGGUGACGAAAAUUUUCAAUUGAGCUAACAUGUGUAAAUGAUACGAGUGUUCAGUAAACAGGAAGUUGUUGAGUGAUGAAUCUAGAAACGCUUGACACAG